CCAAAAGCGGAGGAAAAGAAACCAACAGGGAUUGCCUUAGUAACGGCGAGUGAAGCGGCAAAAGCUCAAAUUUGAAAUCUGGCACCUUCGGUGUCCGAGUUGUAAUUUGAAGAAGGUAACUUUGGAGUUGGCUCUUGUCUAUGUUCCUUGGAACAGGACGUCACAGAGGGUGAGAAUCCCGUGCGAUGAGAUGCCCAAUUCUAUGUAAAGUGCUUUCGAAGAGUCGAGUUGUUUGGGAAUGCAGCUCUAAGUGGGUGGUAAAUUCCAUCUAAAGCUAAAUAUUGGCGAGAGACCGAUAGCGAACAAGUACAGUGAUGGAAAGAUGAAAAGAACUUUGAAAAGAGAGUGAAAAAGUACGUGAAAUUGUUGAAAGGGAAGGGCUUGAGAUCAGACUUGGUAUUUUGCGAUCCUUUCCUUCUUGGUUGGGUUCCUCGCAGCUUACUGGGCCAGCAUCGGUUUGGAUGGUAGGAUAAUGACUAAGGAAUGUGGCUCUACUUCGGUGGAGUGUUAUAGCCUUGGUUGAUACUGCCUGUCUAGACCGAGGACUGCGUCUUUUGACUAGGAUGUUGGCAUAAUGAUCUUAAGCCACCCGUCUUGAAA
rnacentral:rRNA from 1 species